GUUGGUUUAUUGUGGUCGGGUUCGCUAUUUUCCGGGUUUAAAAGAAUCCUGCAUGCUUGAAGACUUUGGGAAGCGAGAACUGAGAAUUUGAAUGGAAGGGUCGCAGACUAAUUCAACCACCACCAGCGCCGCCGGUCCUGCCACCACAACUGGCAACCCUAAUUCCUCCAGCAAUUCCAUUUUAUCAUCAGCACCGGUGUGGCCCACUGUAGAUGGCCCACUGGGUCUCUCGGAGGAUGAAUCGUUGAGCUAUGCCCGCAGAUUCUACAAAUUCGGAUUUGCGCUCUUGCCUUGGCUAUGGGCAGUCAAUUGCUUCUACUUCUGGCCAGUUCUCCGCCACUCCCGCGCCUUCCCUCGCAUUCGCCCCUAUGUUGUGAGAUCAGCGGCAGGAUUCUCAGUAUUCACAUUUCUUCUUUGCUCAUGGGCCUUGACAUUUGCCAUUGGAGGGGAGGAACUCUUUGGCCCUGUUUGGGAUAAACUUGUUAUGUACAAUGUUGCCGACAGAUUAGGCUUGACGGGUUGGGUAUAGUCAUGUUCUCAUGUGAAAUUAAAGGUCAUGACAAAUAUUCAUUCAGCUCUUUUGAUUGCCUGGUUUUUAACAUAUGUCUUGUAUUUAUUACCCCAAUGUGAGGCCACUACCUGUUAUUUGUAAUGGAGAAGAUAUUUAGAUAUGACUCUUGUUUUGUUAUUAUAUUCUAUGAUUUCUGUUAGGGUUAUUGAACCCUAACAAAUGUUUCUUCCUAAAAUAGAAUAGAAC
rnacentral:misc_RNA from 1 species